AUGGCAAGCUCCCUGGCCUUCAAGCUUGUUCUGGUGGUCCUCGGGUGUACGCUGGUUGGUGCACCCUUAGCCCAAGCUGUCAUACCAUGCAGCAGGGUGUCACAAUACGUGGGACCCUGCAUAAGUUACUUGAAGACGGGUGGGGCCGUGCCUGUACCAUGCUGCAAUGGGAUUAGGUCCCUGAUCGGCUUGGCUGGGACCACACCUGACCGCCAGGGCGUGUGUAGGUGCUUGGUCGCGACUGCUAAAUCAAUCACUGGGAUCAAGGGUGAACUUGUUAGCGGACUCCCCAGGGCUUGUAAUGUGAGGCUUCCUUACCCCAUUGGACCCAACGUUGACUGCAACCGG
rnacentral:lncRNA from 1 species